AAAAUUAAGCGAGUUCUCCGGUCGAGCAUCCCACCAGCAAUGCUAAGGCUGGUACUACGGGAUGGUGGAAGCCCACGCUGUCUCGAGCAUUUUGGGGUGGUGGCUCGUCACGACGCUGGCUUCCGGUCUUGGCCGGAUUUCGGCCGAAGGCGGAAUGGUUUUUUGGUGGCUUUCACUGGAAUGACUAUGUGGUUAUAGGUCAUGCUGACUCAAGGAAAGCUCUAGGUCGAACGGCCUCGCAAGCAUCCGCGGCUAUGAAUUGGGGUAUCUCUUUGGAGCCUACUCAGUCUAUCGGCGGGCUAACACCACACCAAAGACCAAAAACGGAAAGCAGUGAAGUAGGUUGCGGACAACAGGAGACGGGUAGCGCUUAGCCCUAACCCAUUGGUAUGCGAAGCUCCGUUUUUUUCGGGGUUCCACUUGUAGUCCUUAGAACGACACAGGAAACGCCUCUCUAGAAACUCUUGAACCUCCGCGCCAACUAAAUAUCCAUAGGCUAACACAGGGUGUGCGGUUGCAGGUUGAGACAAUCACUAAACAAAAAAUUGGAUUCAAUUGGUCCAUGAUGGUGGUAUAAAAUAUUAAGAUUAGUAAAAUUAUUAAACCAAAUUGUUUUUCGGAUAGCACAAUAGGACUGGCUAGCUUACGCCUAAUAGUAUUAAUAUGAUUUAAGUUA